GCGGUGGAGCAUGUGGUUAAUUCGAAGCAACGCGAAGAACCUUACCAGGUCUUGACAUCCCUGACAACCCGAGAGAUCGGGCGUUCCCCUUCGGGGGACAGGGUGACAGGUGGUGCAUGGUUGUCGUCAGCUCGUGUCGUGAGAUGUUGGGUUAAGUCCCGCAACGAGCGCAACCCUCGACCUUAGUUGCCAGCAUUCAGUUGGGCACUCUAAGGUGACUGCCGGCUAAAAGUCGGAGGAAGGUGGGGAUGACGUCAAAUCAUCAUGCCCCUUAUGACCUGGGCUACACACGUGCUACAAUGGGCGGUACAAAGGGUCGCGAACCCGCGAGGGGGAGCCAAUCCCAAAAAGCCGCUCUCAGUUCGGAUUGCAGGCUGCAACUCGCCUGCAUGAAGUUGGAGUUGCUAGUAAACGCAGGUCAGCCAUACUGCGUUGAAUACGUUCCCGGGGCUU
rnacentral:rRNA from 1 species